CGUCUAUAUACGUAUAGCAUAUCAAUAAGCGGAGGAAAAGAAACUAACUAGGAUUCCCUCAGUAACGGCGAGUGAAGCGGGAAGAGCUCAAAUUUGAAAUCUUCAAGGUUCUACCUUGACGAAUUGUAGUUUAAAGAAGUGUUUUCUGUUGGAGUUUUGGUAAAAGUUCUUUGGAAUAGGACAUCAUAGAGGGUGAGAAUCCCGUAUUUGACCAUUACUUCCAGCGUUGUGAUACACUUUCAAAGAGUCGGAUUGUUUGGGAAUGCAGUCCAAAAUGGGUGGUAAAUUUCAUCUAAAGCUAAAUAUUGGCGAGAGACCGAUAGCGAACAAGUACCGUGAGGGAAAGAUGAAAAGAACUUUGAAAAGAGAGUUAAACAGUACGUGAAAUUGUCAAAAGGGAAGCGUUUGACACCAGUGUUGUUUUUCUCGAAAAUCAAUUAAAAAUGGCUGGAUUUUGUGUUGUAUUGACUUUAUCAGCUUUCUGCACUCUUUUCUUGUCUUUUUUAAUGCACUUUUCGUUUAACAAGUCAACAUCAAUUUCUUUUGUUGUAAAAGAGUCAUUGGAAGGUGGCUUUCUUUUCGGAGAAAGUGUUUAUAGCCUUUGCCUCUGCAGUCGGAGAGAUUGAGGUCUGCAGCGUAGAUCCUUCGGGGUUAGAUACAUUUGUGCUAAGUUAUAGCCUUUCAUAGACAACUUGUUGACUAUGAUCAGUCAUGUAGCUUACUCGCUUAUGCUACUUUACCUACGCUUAGGAUGUUGAAGUCAUCGUAUCGCGC
rnacentral:rRNA from 1 species